GGACUAUGCAAGGCUUUUACCCGACGAGGGAGUUUUAAGUUGGUGUCUAAAUGUGCAUUAUCUGUUUCCAAAGGAAAAUUUCCAAAGAAAGAGUGACACAUACUUUAAAAAAUGUAUGUAUAUUCCUUUAUAGACAUGUUUUCUUCAUCCCAGUCACAACAUUACAAUGUAAUAAAAUGGUAAAUAUAUAAAAUCAACCUAGUGUGUCUUUGUGUUCAAAACCAAAAUGGAACUGUACAUGAUUCAUUAGUAUAUCUGUUUUACAUUGUUUAAAAUCUGUUUAUAGUUUGAGCGGUCAUCUGUAAGUUAAAUAAUUUAUUUCCAAAUAUUGUAACAAAAAUAACACCUUUUUCUAAUGCUGGCCGCCGACGGGCCAUUGAAAAUAUAAACAUUACACCCACCUAACCCUUAAUAUUGACACAGAAUACACAGACGGACUUCAGGUGUGCAGUUAUGUCACUGUCAUCACCACUGCGCCCCAUGGAUGCUGUGAUUGGUUAGAAAGGAAAUAAAAAUAAUUGCUUUGUCCCAUGAUAGGACGGUUAUGAUAACCGGGAUGGUCGUGUAAGCCGCGACCGCGGUGCUCAGCGAUUCAGUCAGUGAACUGAAGCGCUGCAGGCGGUAGCACCCUGUAGGCCUAAGGGUUUCUUCACGGUUCAAUCUGAAGUUGAAUUGGAAGCUAGUCAGUUUAUUUUCAAUAAACAGAACUGAAGCCACAGGUGAACCAUUUUCUCUAUUUUACAACACAAUUGCCUGCGCACUACAAUACCAUGAUCACCAAGUCGAGAAAUGCAAAGGUGAAAAAUAAAUCUGAAUCCAACAGUGACAGCACCAGUGGUUAUUGGUUGUAGAUCAUUCCAAAGUGAUGUCACUCAUCAUACUAUGGCAUGACGUGACAUCAUCUUCCAGCAGUUUGAUCCAGAUUACUGUAUUGAGCAAUGUUUCAUGUGCUUUAGCGAUUUUUAACUCUUUGUAUCAUGCAUGUAGGCCGACUGUAUCAAAGUAAAAUCUCACUGUAGUGAAAAUACAUCAUUUAAAGUUUAUGAUCAUCCAGAACAAUCUGCAGUGUUAAUAAACACUACUCAGGCAUUAUCAAAUCUACCGUCUUGCGAUAGAAAUACAUUUCUCUUUAAUCAAUUGACCUAUAUCUUAAAACGUAUGCCUGCCUAAGCUACUCUGGAGAGUUUGUCUAUUUCCCUCAACCCUACUUAAUGUGCUUAUAAGAACAACACGAUCGCACAGACAAAAAAAUAAAAACAUGGUUUGCCCGAAACCCCCCCCCCAACUCCCUUACAGUCCAGUUAGUUUAAAGAACGUAGAUCGUUAACAUUAGACAGAGCCAUUGAAACAAAUAGGUAAACAAUAACCACCAAGCAUGGACCCAAAGGAGAAGGAGGUUACCAUGGAGAAGGUAUUUACAAUCAGAAACGGCAACCACAAGAAAGUUCCUGAAUAAAACAUCAGUCACUUUCGCACAGCAAGGUUUUCUAAUGCUACUCGUCUUAUCAAGGAAUGAAUGUGGUAGUCAAAAAGUAUGGGCCCUUUGUAAUGCCAGGGCAAGACUAGAAAUUAAUACAAAAUAGUUGUGUGUCCCUCAAUAGGCCAUCACUAGGUCUAUUCUGGCCACACCCUGUGCUUAUAGGAGAUCUUUUCAAUGUGUUGGACAUCCAUCCGUAUUUUCUUGUACCAAAUUUGAAUAUACACCAAGUCAGAGAAGGAGAUUAAGCCUACUUUCAUGCCAAUUGGCAUCCUAACAUGGCCUUGUGCGUACCUCACUAGGCUACAACCCUGAUACACCCAAAAAUAAAUAAAUACAAUUCUUGCUUUUAUACACAAUCAAGUACACAUUCCUUUAUCUACCCCGACUGGGUCAGGUAUAGCUGACAUGUUUCACCUUUAUCUCCUCUGUAGAACCUUCCUCAGCAGACAGACAGCCGGCCUCAGCAAACAGACAGUAGGCCGAGGGUGGGCUUGCACACUGCCCCUUUAGACCACUUAAGAAUAAACAUGGGGGAAAUGAAUGUAUCGUGGCCAUCAUAAAUGAACAAAAACAUUAAAAUCAUUGUAUAGCAUCAUUAAAAACAUUCAAAACCAUGUUGAUGCUACAACAAGGAAAAGGAAGAGUUGGGGACCGGUGGAAGACCUCAGGUUUCUCUGUUCUGGUUCACACAGUCUCCAAGAUGGAGGAGACCCCCGAAUUAGACCCUCGUGGUUCCUCAUCACCUUCAGGCUUCACAGCUGACCCUUUGUUUUUCUUGUGCAUGCCCCGCCUCUCGUGCACAGCGGCUGGGGCCACUGUGGAGAGAAGCACCGUAUGCGGCCGGAUGGUGGUUUCCUUGGCAACGGUUGGGGUCGGGAGGGUACUGAUGUAUUUUCUUUUGCCGUAAAUAUUUAAGAAAAACAGCAUUGUGUUCUAAGAACGUAUUGUUGAUGUUAUUUUAUUAUACCUUGAUUUUAAAAAGUUUAACCAUUUACAUAGUUUUUAAAGACCGAGACCAAAAACGUCAAUGGUCAAACCAAGUAUUUUCUUCAUGUGUGAGCAGUUUUUCGUGCAUUUAGAACAAAGUUUUGACAAGAAUCUACACCUCAGUAGUACUGGACAUCACAGCACAGUGACAAUGCGCAGGAGCACGGAAGAAUAACGGACAAUACUCUUUAGAUCUGACCUCAAUCAUGUGAAGUUCUCCAAGUUUUUCAUGUGCUAGGCUGUUCUUUUUUUUUUGUCAAUACUUUUUGUAAAUUCAUACAUUAGACAGAUAUUCAACUUUAUUCAACUGUGGGUGAACCAAAACCCUACCCCAAAAAUAACGGUAAAUAGUAAAACAAAAUCUAAACACAAAGUAUGAAAAACCAUCAAACAAAAGCCUGUCUCAGAUGGGCCUCAUGCACCCAUGCCCACCUUAUGACGGAAGCUGUGGCAUUUAUCAACGAUAAAGUUUCAUGGAUUCCCUCCCAUCCGUGUCACUGUGUCUCUUGAACCAGAAUAAGUGUGUGUGAUGUUGUGUGCACUGACAACACAGUAUUUACACAGCCCAGAGCCCACAGUAAAGGGAUAAGUUGUUAUUUGUCCGUCGCCCUAUAAUCCUACACAUUUACAUUAUUUGUAUGUUUCUUUUGUAUGUUUGAGUUACAAACAUGUGAAGGAGUUUUUGGCUGUCACUUGUGUCUUGUGCAAAUACACAUGCACGUGAGUGUACGUGGCCUUCCUCAGUAGCACCAGAUGAACUUUGAUCCCAUAUCAAACAGGGAGUGGAGGCGAGCCAGGACUGUAUGUUUGUGUGGGCCUGUUUGUGUGCACGUGUGUGUGUGGAUGUGUGCACGUGUGUGUGUGUGUACAAGUGUUCGUUUGCACAUGUGUUUAUGUGCACGUAUGUGUGUGCACGUGUGUGCCUGCACAAGUGUGUGUGUGCACAUGUGUGUUGGCACAAGUGUUCGUCUGCACAAGUGUGUAUGUGCAUGUGUGUGUUUGCACAAUUGUCUGUGCACAUGUGUGUGUGAACAAGUGAGUUUGCAUAAGUGUGGGUCUGCACAAGUGUGUUAUAUCGAGUGUUUUAUGUCCUUGUCAUGGUGUGUGUGAAUAUAUUAGUAUUUGUAUGCAUGCGUGUUUGAGUGUAUGUGUAGUUACAUUUGCAACAGUGUGUGUGUGCAGAAGUGUGUACCUUUGUACUGCUCUGUCUGUGCAUGCCCAUAUGUGUGUGUAUGUAUUGGUGUAUUUGUAAGUGUGUGUCCUUGGGGUUUGUGUGUGUGUGUGUGUGUGUGUGUGUGUCUCUGCUUCGGCGACUUGCAUAGCUUCUGCAGGACAGGAAGAGCAGUUGUGUGUUUGGUCUAGGGGGGUGGGCCUAAAGCCUUGGCAGAGGUGUGAAGGGCUGCUGGAGUUACUGCACCCUAGACCUCUAAGAGAGAGACAAUAAGACCUGCCUCUAUUGCACCGUAUAGAAAUGAGUCACAGUUGCACCAUUCGAAAAAAAGUGGAACUAAGCUAGUUGGCGGUUAGCAACUGGCUAUCAUAUGAGGACCUGUGGCUUGCUAAUUGCAGUUGUUUAGUUUGUCAGCUGACAAUGUUCAGGACAGUGGAGCCUGCGUAUGUUAUGUUGUAGCACCGCAGAAAAGCCCUCCUAGCUCCAAGCUUCGAGGCACCGCUGAAGAUUUUAACGUUUUGUCACGUCAAAGGGAUUGCUCUACUAUCUCCUCGAAAUGCUUAUCGCUUAAGUUAGGAAAUUAAACCAUGACAUAACAUGGAACAAUACAAAACCGAUAACUAAAUAUAAAACAAUCUGAAUAAAUGCAUGUGAGACACAAAUAGCACGACCAAAGCUUACUACUCGUGCUAGGCGUUUUUCGCAUUUUAGGGGGCUGGGUUAUUAUUGAAAUAAUAUAUUUUCUUACUAUAAUAUGGAAUUUUCUUGAUGUCAAUACUUUUCUGUGGUUUCAAAUCCAAUAAGACGUGUACGUCAACAAGAAUAGCUUAAAUACACCCCUUUAAACCUCCAGGAGUUGGAGCUUGCGACUAGAACGAUCUUACAUGUGAACCGAUGUCAUAUCGUUGUCUUUGGGCUAUGUGUCCUGUGUAUGUGCCAUCGCUCUCUGCCAACAGCGGUUGUUCCUAAUAAGCCAUGACACCUCUCGUCAUCACAGAGGCAACGUGUUGUUGUUGUUGUUCCCGUGGCUAGGAGUCAUGUGAGCGGGCUAACCGCCAUGCCAGCGGGUCUCGUGCUCCCUCGUUAUCGCAAUGAUGAGAGCGCCUGUGAUGUUAGGCUCUACGGUACAGGGUGGGAGACCCCUGCCGACCAGCUCCGCAACAGCCCGCCUUGCAGGGGACAACAAACAUAAUGAAUGCAACAAGCGUCAUGUCUGGGGUGAAGGGUUGGGAGAGUGGGGACUUCAUCACCCACAAUACCCCCCGG
ensembl:lncRNA